rnacentral:rRNA from 1 species
GACGAACGCUGGCGGCGUGCUUAACACAUGCAAGUCGAACGGAAAGGCCCUGCUUUUGCGGGGUGCUCGAGUGGCGAACGGGUGAGUAACACGUGAGUAACCUGCCCUUGACUUUGGGAUAACUUCAGGAAACUGGGGCUAAUACCGGAUAGGAGCUCCUGCUGCAUGGUGGGGGUUGGAAAGUUUCGGCGGUUGGGGAUGGACUCGCGGCUUAUCAGCUUGUUGGUGGGGUAGUGGCUUACCAAGGCUUUGACGGGUAGCCGGCCUGAGAGGGUGACCGGCCACAUUGGGACUGAGAUACGGCCCAGACUCCUACGGGAGGCAGCAGUGGGGAAUAUUGCACAAUGGGCGGAAGCCUGAUGCAGCAACGCCGCGUGCGGGAUGACGGCCUUCGGGUUGUAAACCGCUUUCGCCUGUGACGAAGCAUGAGUGACGGUAAUGGGUAAAGAAGCACCGGCUAACUACGUG